rnacentral:rRNA from 1 species
AGCUCCAGUAGCGUAUAUUAAUGUUGUUGCAGUUAAAAAGCUCGUAGUUGGAUUUCUAGCACGACAUGGACGGACCGGUGAUACUUCGAUAGAACUGAGUUCCAUUUGUGUCUGUUAUCUUGACGGUUGCUUCGGCGAUUGUCUCAUUUACUUUGAAAAAUUAGAGUGUUUAAAGCAGGCUUGCGCAAUGAAUACAUUAGCAUGGAAUAAUAACAUAAGACUUUUGUUUUAUUUUGUUGGUUCAUAAAGCAUUAGUAAUGAUUGAUAGGGAUAGUUGGGGGUGCUAGUAUUGAGCGGCCAGAGGUGAAAUUCGGGGAUUCGCUCAAGACUAACUUAUGCGAAAGCAUUCACCAAGGAUGUCUUC